UUGUGCGGAAUUCGGUCCAUUUCACAGGCUGACAGUUUACAGCUUUUCAACAGAACAGUGUCCUUUUGUAGUUGUCAAAAGUUAAGCUGAAGCAUUUUGGAUUUUAUUAUAUGAUCAUUUUAAGCUACUGCAUGAUCCUUCUGGGUUUAAAAUGCUUUUUCUAACCAGCUAUCGAUCUUCUGAGGGAGAGAAUGUGUGCCGCACACCCUCCCAGACACAAAGCUCGAAUCUUGACUCGACCCUGGUUUGACCCUAAAGAUUGCGGUCCUAAUUGUCCCUCAUCUCUUGGGACCCCCAGUGGGAAGAGGGGGAUGAGGGUGAGCGGUCAGGAACAGACGUGCUUGAAUCAGCAUUCCCCCCCAUUCCUCCCUCCCUCCCUCCUGUUAGAGAUGAGUGGACUCUGCCCCGCUGAACCUCACGCUCGCUUGAUCUGCUCUUCACAGGAAUCACACGUUUCGCCCUCUUCUUCAUCCUGAUUGCACUCCUCCUGCUGCUUUUCUCUCUCAUGCCUCAGUGACCCCGAGGCCCCAGAGGGCCAAAGUCAAUCAAGUUUCACUGUGGUGAUUUGCAAAGCGUAAGUGAGGGAUCUUUGCUGUCUGAUUCUUUCAUCUCCUCAAAGUUCCUCACUACAUCCUCAAGGAAAUUCACCACAGUCUUCAGAUCCUCACUGCUGCUCAAUAUGGCCUCUUCUAGCUGUCCCUUCAGCCUGGUCAGCGUCUCGUUGAGCACCACGAAACCAUCUUCAGGUGCCGCAUUAUCCCCAGCUUCCUCCCCUGCAGCACCAUCGACCCCAGCAACCAAAGACACGCCCUUAUCGCUAAGGUAGUGAACCAGGAAGCCCUGUAGCACUGGUCUGGAUUGGUCAGUCAGUGAUGACCUCAGUGCAGGAAGGUCAUCAGGCUGACAUAAGGACAGAAGGUGCAGGAGAGCAUGGCAGAGCUGUGAGCGUAAGCUAGCA